AACGCUAGCUACAGGCUUAACACAUGCAAGUCGAGGGGCAGCAUGAACUUAGCUUGCUAAGUUUGAUGGCGACCGGCGCACGGGUGAGUAACGCGUAUCCAGCCUUCCGUUUACUCGGGUAUAGCCUUUCGAAAGAAAGAUUAAUCCCCGAUGGUAUGGUAAGAUUGCAUGAAAUUACCAUUAAAGAUUAAUCGGUAAACGAUGGGGAUGCGUUCCAUUAGGUAGUAGGCGGGGUAACGGCCCACCUAGUCGACGAUGGAUAGGGGUUCUGAGAGGAAGGUCCCCCACAUCGGAACUGAGACACGGUCCAAACUCCUACGGGAGGCAGCAGUGAGGAAUAUUGGUCAAUGGACGAGAGUCUGAACCAGCCAAGUAGCGUGAAGGAUGACUGCCCUAUGGGUUGUAAACUUCUUUUAUAUGGGAAUAAAAAAGGCCACGUGUGGCCUAUUGUAUGUACCUUAUGAAUAAGCAUCGGCUAAUUCCGUGCCAGCAGCCGCGGUAAUACGGAAGAUGCGAGCGUUAUCCGGAUUUAUUGGGUUCAAAGGGAGCGUAGGCGGACGAUUAAGUCAGCGGUAAAAUCGUGUGGCUCAACCAUACCUUGCCGUUGAUACUGGUUGUCUUGAGUGCACACAAGGAAGAUGGAAUUCGUGGUGUAGCGGUGAAAUGCUUAGAUAUCACGAAGAACUCCGAUUG
rnacentral:rRNA from 1 species